UACAAGUCAUCUAGGGCCA
rnacentral:siRNA from 1 species